rnacentral:rRNA from 1 species
AGAGUUUGAUCCUGGCUCAGGACGAACGCUGGCGGCGUGCCUAAUACAUGCAAGUAGAACGCUGAAGGAGGAGCUUGCUUCUCCGGAUGAGUUGCGAACGGGUGAGUAACGCGUAGGUAACCUGCCUGGUAGCGGGGGAUAACUAUUGGAAACGAUAGCUAAUACCGCAUAACAGUAGAUAUUGCAUGAUAUCUGCUUGAAAGGUGCAAUUGCAUCACUACCAGAUGGACCUGCGUUGUAUUAGCUAGUUGGUGGGGUAACGGCUCACCAAGGCGACGAUACAUAGCCGACCUGAGAGGGUGAUCGGCCACACUGGGACUGAGACACGGCCCAGACUCCUACGGGAGGCAGCAGUAGGGAAUCUUCGGCAAUGGACGGAAGUCUGACCGAGCAACGCCGCGUGAGUGAAGAAGGUUUUCGGAUCGUAAAGCUCUGUUGUAAGAGAAGAACGAGUGUGAGAGUGGAAAGUUCACACUGUGACGGUAUCUUACCAGAA